GACGAACGCUGGCGGCGUGCUUAACACAUGCAAGUCGAACGGAAAGGCCCUGCUUUUGUGGGGUGCUCGAGUGGCGAACGGGUGAGUAACACGUGAGUAACCUGCCCUUGACUUUGGGAUAACUUCAGGAAACUGGGGCUAAUACCGGAUAGGAGCUCCUGCUGCAUGGUGGGGGUUGGAAAGUUUCGGCGGUUGGGGAUGGACUCGCGGCUUAUCAGCUUGUUGGUGGGGUAGUGGCUUACCAAGGCUUUGACGGGUAGCCGGCCUGAGAGGGUGACCGGCCACAUUGGGACUGAGAUACGGCCCAGACUCCUACGGGAGGCAGCAGUGGGGAAUAUUGCACGAUGGGCGGAAGCCUGAUGCAGCAACGCCGCGUGCGGGAUGACGGCCUUCGGGUUGUAAACCGCUUUCGCCUGUGACGAAGCGUGAGUGACGGUAAUGAGUAAAGAAGCACCGGCUAACUACGUG
rnacentral:rRNA from 1 species